CCUACGGGCGGCAGCAGUGAGGAAUAUUGGUCAAUGGCCGGAAGGCUGAACCAGCCAAGCCGCGUGAGGGAGGAAGGCGCAGAGCGUCGCAGACCUCUUUUGCCGGGGGACAAAAGGCCGGACUCGUCCGGUCCUGAGGGUACCCGGAGAAAAAGCAUCGGCUAACUCCGUGCCAGCAGCCGCGGUAAUACGGAGGAUGCGAGCGUUAUCCGGAUUUAUUGGGUUUAAAGGGUGCGCAGGCGGAGGCACAAGUCAGCGGUAAAAUCGCGGGGCUCAACCCCGCUCCGCCGUUGAAACUGUGUCCCUUGAGUGCGCGAAGGGUAGGCGGAAUGCGUGGUGUAGCGGUGAAAUGCAUAGAUAUCACGCAGAACUCCGAUCGCGAAGGCAGCCUACCGGCGCGCAACUGACGCUCAUGCACGAAAGCGUGGGUAUCGAACAGGAUUAGAUACCCCUGUAGUC
rnacentral:rRNA from 1 species